rnacentral:rRNA from 1 species
GACGUAGGGCGCGAGCGUUGUCCGGAUUUAUUGGGCGUAAAGAGCUCGUAGGCGGCUUGUCGCGUCGACCGUGAAAACUUGGGGGCUCAACCCCCAAGCCUGCGGUCGAUACGGGCAGGCUAGAGUUCGGUAGGGGAGACUGGAAUUCCUGGUGUAGCGGUGAAAUGCGCAGAUAUCAGGAGGAACACCGGUGGCGAAGGCGGGUCUCUGGGCCGAUACUGACGCUGAGGAGCGAAAAGCGUGGGGAGCGAACAGG